rnacentral:lncRNA from 1 species
UCUGGUUGGAUCACCACGUAUUUUCACAUUCUUUAUUCACAGAUUUUUUCUUACUCGCUACAAUUUGAUUUUGGCUUCUACGAGCUACAUAGAAUUUUGUUAGAGCAGGAUACAUUAUUGUUGUUGUUUACGUUCUCCACGUCCUUAGCCCUUCUGACGAUUUGAAUGAAACCAAAGCACUUAAUUCUUCAUUAUUGCUUUCCUCUUACUAUUUCACCAAACCAUAAACCAACCCACCUUCUCCUUAAAAAAAAUAUAUAAAAUACUUAAAAUUAAAAAAAAAAAGAGAGAGAAAGAAUCAGCAGUCCACAAACACACACAUUCUCUUUCACUAGAAGAUAAAAACCAACAGUGAGAAAAAUCAAGAACAAAAACGCGUAAUGUAUAGUAAUAAUUAAAACAACCGAUGUCUAUUAUGAAAUGAGCAAAAUUAAAGUCAAGUUUACACGUUAGAUGGUUGACUUAAAUUUUUGAAAUGAAUAAUAAUAAUAGUAAUUCCAAGAACUAAAACAAGCAACUACCGCAGUACAGCGAAUGACGUUAUCUGAAAAUAAAAAUCAUUUAACACAUUAAUUAAACUAAAAAAUAAAAAAGAAAUGGUAGUGUAGGACAACUUGAAGGAACCGACACACACGUAUACACGAGAAAUAUUAAGUUGAAAAGGUAGAAAAUAUUGAGAAAAUAAAAAUAGAUAGAUUCGAUAAUUCUAAAUAUAUAUGCAUGAAUAAAAAAGGAAAAGGAAAAUUUGGUUUGGACACGGUAACAGUGUUCUCUCACCAAAGAGGUCGCAUUCUGGAGUCGCCAGUUUUCAACUCACAACAACCUUCUUUUUAAACGAUGGAUUGAUCCAUUUGAGAUGCAUUCACUCUCACUCACGCGCCUUCGCUGUGUUUCCUUGUUUUCUUUCUCUCGUUCCGUGGGAACCGCUUCCUUGUCUCCUUCUUCAAUUUCUCCCUUUCUUGCAAUUUCAGUCUUAUAAUAACAAUGACUCUGUAUUAUUCCUAACCUAAAUUAAACCUAGUCUUCUGUUCUGUUCCGUUGCAUUUCACUGUUCUCCAAAAACAACCAUGCCGUUUCCCUGGAAGAAGAACCGCGUCCCUCGAAUCUCCCAAAUCGUCGCGGAUCUCCAAUCGCCAAAACGAGGCGGCUCCCUCGUCGUCGAGACCGGCUUCCCCACCUCCCUCAUCGACCUCUUCGUAAAAAACCGAAGCCGUUUUAGAAAACACCGCACAAAAAAACCGCCACCGCCCGAAGUCCCCGAUCCGCCGCCGCCGCCUCCCUCUCCGGCCAACUCUCCGCCGCCGCCGCCGUCGCAACCCGAUCCUCGUCUCCCGAACCCUCGGACUGAACAGAACGUCGUCGCUUCGGUUUCGGAUCAGGUCGGGGAGUGCUCUUUGAACGUUAUUUUAGUUGUGAAGAUUCUGAUGGUGCUGAUUGUGGUCGCGAGCGUGAAGAGGCUCACCGUGGGAAUCACCGUGUCGACGUUCGCGCUUCUGCUUCUAGAAUACGCGGGGCGGCGCGUGGUUUCGGGUUCCGUUGUGGAAUCGUGGUUCCGGAAGGUUCGGGUUCUGAAGAAGGAGCGUGUUCGGGGGAGUGGAUUAACUGACUUGAGUCAAUUGACCUUUUCCGAGAGUUUUUUAAUUGAUGAAAUUGAGGUUGUGAGUGAUGUGGGGAUUUGUUGUCAAAUGCGUUCUGUCAGUGGUGACGUGGCAUCAGAAAUAGUUGAGGAUUGUUCUUCAGAUGUUCUUGAAGUUUCUGAAUACAAGAUUAAAGGGAGUAGAAGUGGUAGGUUUGGGUCGAGGAUGGUGAAGAAGCUUGUGCCUAAGAAGUUUCGUGCCCCCAGGAAAGAAAAAAAGGAUAAGGGGAAUAAGGAAAUUGAGUAUGAAUCGGGUAGUGAAGUUUCCAGCGCCGUGGAAGAUGAUAAGUUACCCAUGUUAGAAAUUGAAGAGGAAGAUAAGAGCGAGAAUACUGAACAAGCUGAGGUUGAUUGUGGCAUCACUUGUUCCUAUAAUGGAAAGAGAGUGGCCAGAGUUGGGAAUUCAGGUUCUUCCACGGUUAUGGUUCUAGUUAUGAUUGUCCUUGUUGGACUUCUUCUGGGUCGUUUCCCAGCUUUGAUGCUUUCAAUUUCAUGGUGUUGCACGAUGAAAAUAGUUAGAACAUUACGGAGAUCACUCAGAGUGUCUCUGAAGAAGUGCUCUGUUUCAAACUCUUGA